ACAGCUGACAUUCAGAUGGUGACAGUUCGUGAGGCAGCAUUACAGGGUGAGUGUAUCAUUAACUCAAUAUUUGACACUGAUGGUGUGUCUAUACCCAUGCCUCAGGUUAAAUAGCUUUGCUAAAUAGCAGUUGACUUUGUAGACGGUGGCAGACUAAAGAAGAAAUGAACCCUUGGGUGUACUGAGACUUUCACAUUGCUGUUUCAUCUACAGGAACAAAAACUGAAGCUGAAAGGCUCCUAGUGUACGAGCGCUGGAAUUUCCUAUGCAAACUGGAGAUGGUAGGGGAAGAGGGAGCCUUUGUGAUAGGGAGGGAGGAGGUGCUGACUGAAGAGGAGCUGACCACCACACUAAAGGUACUGUGCAUGCCUGCUGAGGAGUUCAGAGAGCUUAAAGACCAGGAUGGAGGGGGAGAUGAUAAAAGGGAAGAGGGCAGCCUGACGAUCACAAAUAUUCCCAAGCUCAAAGCAUCGUGGAGACAGCUGCUUCGAAACAGUGUUCUACUGACUUUGCAGACCUAUGCCACAGACU
rnacentral:sRNA from 1 species